CGUAAAGCGUGCGCAGGCGGUUUUGUAAGACUGUCGUGAAAUCCCCGGGCUCAACCUGGGAAUGGCGAUGGUGACUGCAAGGCUAGAGUUUGGCAGAGGGGGGUAGAAUUCCACGUGUAGCAGUGAAAUGCGUAGAUAUGUGGAGGAACACCGAUGGCGAAGGCAGCCCCCUGGGUCAAAACUGACGCUCAUGCACGAAAGCGUGGGGAGCAAACAGGAUUAGAUACCCG
rnacentral:rRNA from 1 species